UACGGGGGGGGGCGAGCGUUGUCCGGAAUCACUGGGCGUAAAGGGCGCGUAGGUGGCGUGAUAAGGGUGUGGUGAAAGCCCGGGGCUCAACCCCGGGUCUGCCAUGCCGACUGUCAGGCUCGAGUGCUGUAGGGGCAGGCGGAAUUCCGGGUGUAGCGGUGGAAUGCGUAGAUAUCGUAAGGAAGACCAGUGGCGAAGGCGGAUCUCUGGACAGUUACUGACACUGAGGCACGAAGGCCAGGGGAGCAAACGGG
rnacentral:rRNA from 1 species